GGCGUGCUUAACACAUGCAAGUCGAGCGGUAAGGCCCUUCGGGGUACACGAGCGGCGAACGGGUGAGUAACACGUGAGCAACCUGCCCCCGACUCCGGGAUAAGCGGUGGAAACGCCGUCUAAUACCGGAUACGACCCGUCACCUCAUGGUGUGCGGGUGGAAAGUUUUUUCGGUUGGGGAUGGGCUCGCGGCCUAUCAGCUUGUUGGUGGGGUAACGGCCCACCAAGGCGAUUACGGGUAGCCGGCCUGAGAGGGCGACCGGCCACACUGGGACUGAGACACGGCCCAGACUCCUACGGGAGGCAGCAGUGGGGAAUAUUGCACAAUGGGCGAAAGCCUGAUGCAGCGACGCCGCGUGGGGGAUGACGGCCUUCGGGUUGUAAACCUCUUUUACCACUAACGCAGGCUCCACGUUCUCGUGGGGUUGACGGUAAGUGGGGAAUAAGGACCGGCUAACUACGUGCCAGCAGCCGCGGUAAUACGUAGGGUCCGAGCGUUGUCCGGAAUUAUUGGGCGUAAAGAGCUCGUAGGCGGCAUGUCGCGUCUGCUGUGAAAGACCGGGGCUUAACUCCGGUUCUGCAGUGGAUACGGGCAUGCUAGAGGUAGGUAGGGGAGACUGGAAUUCCUGGUGUAGCGGUGAAAUGCGCAGAUAUCAGGAGGAACACCGGUGGCGAAGGCGGGUCUCUGGGCCUUACCUGACGCUGAGGAGCGAAAGCAUGGGUAGCGAACAGGAUUAGAUACCCUGGUAGUCCAUGCCGUANACGUU
rnacentral:rRNA from 1 species